rnacentral:rRNA from 1 species
GACGAACGCUGGCGGCGUGCCUAAUACAUGCGAGUUGAGCGAUGAAGAUUGGUGCUUGCCCCAAUUUGAAGAGCAGCGAACGGGUGAGUAACGCGUGGGGAAUCUGCCUUUGAGCGGGGGACAACAUUUGGAAACGAAUGCUAAUACCGCAUAAUAACUUUAAACAUAAGUUUUAAGUUUGAAAGAUGCAAUUGCAUCACUCAAAGAUGAUCCCGCGUUGUAUUAGCUAGUUGGUGAGGUAAAGGCUCACCAAGGCGAUGAUACAUAGCCGACCUGAGAGGGUGAUCGGCCACAUUGGGACUGAGACACGGCCCAAACUCCUACGGGAGGCAGCAGUAGGGAAUCUUCGGCAAUGGACGAAAGUCUGACCGAGCAACGCCGCGUGAGUGAAGAAGGUUUUCGGAUCGUAAAACUCUGUUGGUAGAGAAGAACGUUGGUGAGAGUGGAAAGCUCAUCAAGUGACGGUAACUACCCAGAAAGGGACGGCUAACUACGUG